UUCAAUGUGCCUUUCUCUCUUUUACAAAAGCUUUGUAUGUAGCAUUUGACGCUGAAAAACGGGUUUAUCAUUAGAAUUAGUGGUGAAGGAAUAUUCAAAUCAGUUACACGCAAAACUGCGAAAUAUUAGAAAAGUUUAAAAUCAUCUUGGUACAGAUCAAGAAAUGGGUAAGGACUGACGAUGUACCUUCAAAGGAGUCAAAGUUGCGACAGAAGAUUUUAACAGAAGUAUAUAGCAAGCAAGCCGACCUGGUCCAUUACUUGUAUUCUACUUUUAAAAACUCAUCAUCUGGAUGCCAGCAAUGGACACCAACAGAAGGAAAUCCUCCUUUUGGAGUUAAAACUGAAUUAUGGUGAACUCCCAUCCAGGCCUGGGAUGAUUCUUGCUAUGCAGCAGAAACCUAAAAGCUAAUAAUAAAUUAAUCUGAAGGUUUUAUUCUUCCU